rnacentral:rRNA from 1 species
CCUACGGGUGAGCAGCAGGGAGGAAGAUUGGGCAAGGGGGGCGAGCUUGAACCAGCCAAGGCGCGUGAGGGAGGAGGGCCCGAGGGGUGGAAAACCUCUUUUGCCGGGGAGAAACGGGCGUCACGGGGGGCGCCACUGAGAGUACCGGGAGAAAAAGCAGCGGCUAACUCCGUGCCAGCAGCCGCGGUAAUACGGGGGAUGCGAGCGUUAUCCGGAUUUAGUGGGUUGAAAGGGUGCGGAGGCGGAUCGUUAAGUCAGUGGUCACAUUGCGGGGCUCAACCCCUGCCCGCCAUUGACACUGGCGCUCUUGAGUGGAAGAGAAGUAUGCGGAAUGCGUGGUGUAGCGGUGAAAUGCAUAGCUAUCACGCAGAACCCCGAUUGCGAAGGCAGCAUGCCGUCUUCCGACUGACGCUGACGCACGAAAGCGUGGGGAUCGAACAGGAUUAGAUACCCUUGUAGUC